CAAAUCUUUGCGAUGCUGUUGGGACUGCUUAAGGCUGCAAGCCAGUUCUGUUCCCAUUGCAGUAGGUGAUAAAGAUCCUAUUAAAUAUUAACGAGUAAUCACUUGAAUAUUAGCCAUUCUCUUUGUUAUCUCUGAAGUAGCUAAAUAAACAAAGUGUCUAAAGUCUGUGACCUUCACAUUAAAACCAGGCUGAAGUUGUAACAUAAAUUACUGUUUAGUGCAGUUUCUUGUGUAGCAGAAAGUUGUUAAUUUCCCCUACAAAUCGGGAUGUUAUUGGUGAGGCCUAAUUUGGAGUAUUGUAUGCAGUUUUGGUCACCUACCUACAGGAAAGAUCUCGGCAUUCAACACCACUACCCUCUCAGUACAGAUCAACAAGAUUCAAAACCUGGGCCUCUGUACAACCCUCUGCAAUUGGAUUCUUGAUUUUCGCAUUGGGAGACAACAGUCAGUGUAGAUUGGUAAUUAUACCUCUUCACUGACAAUCAACACAUGCAUACCGCAGGGAGGGCCAGGACAACAAUUGCUGGUGACAACCCAGUGGAGAUGGCUGUUUUGAUUCUCAUGCCUGGCCUGAGGAAGGAGUUUCACAAAAAACAAGCCAAUCAAGUUCCAGGGACAUUUCAACUGUCCCUAUGGUCUUUGCUCCUUGCCAUCUUCAAGUUCCUCCAGCCCUAUAGUGCAUCAAGAUCUUUUCAUUCUCACAAUUCUGACCUUGUCCCAGAAUUUAGUAACUGCACUGGCAACACUCAUGCCUUCAAAGAUUAAGUCCCUCCAUUCUAGAAAUCCCUCUGUCUAAAAAGUGCAAAAAGUUACAACCUUUCAAGCCCAAAUCUUUGAUCAAAUUACUCAUAACCUUCCUUAAGUAGUAUCUCUCAUCUAGUUCAAGAAGCAGAUUUAUAGCAGACUCUCAGAAGGGGAUUAAGGAAUCAAUUCCAACGCUCAAAGCCUAGAAGGCAAAAGACACAGCUUCAAGGGGUGGGACUAAAGUACUUUGCAACAUGCCUCCCUGCCUUGACCAAUCCUGAGAUAUGUUAAUUCAGUUUACCAUUCCAUGAGGCAAGUUUAUUGUAUAUUCAAGGAAAAGGGUCAAGGCCUUGUCUUGUCAACUAGGAGAAUGUUUUAUACUUUGAGAUGCAAGCUGGGGAAGGCUGCAAAAAUAAUAAGGUAAUUGAGGAAUUUAAAUAAGGUUAAGAAUUUCAGAAAUUAAGAAAUGACAGGAGAACUGGAUCCUAUGCAAGCCAGCAAGAGCCAAGGUGCUGGGUGAACCAGACUUGCUUAACUAGGAAAAAAGAAACACAAGUAGUCAUAUCAAACUAGACCCUAAGUAAAGGAAAUAUUUAAUUCAUACAAGUUUGUAGAAAAACACCAAAUACUUAUUAUCGAGAAUGAUCAAAUAAACAUAGAACAAGAACAGCACAAUCUUUGCAUUCUUUCCACAACCACAUAUAAUUUGCACUGAAUCUGUGACAGAAAAACCCUGCAGACAAUUAAGCUUCUUCUCACUUUUACUCCAAAAUUUAUUCCAAUAAAAUUUAUUAUUUUAAUAGCGCUGAGUUCUGCAAUCCUUAUUUGUUGCUUUUAUUUAUUUAUAUUAAGAUCCAGGAAUAUUUCAUUAUCUUUAUUCAUUUUAAUGAUUUUAAUCAAAAGGUUUUUAAAUUUUCUUUCUGAUUAACUACUUAAUUCAAAUCCAGUUCUAUCAAAGGCAUUUAUUACCCUUAAUCCUUCAAGAGAUAUUGUUAUUCGCAACAGUUACCAUGUUAAUUUGUUUGGUCUUUUCAUAUUAAGUUGUUAUUACAGAAUAUUUAGUAUUUAAAUCAGUGAGUGUGUCCCCUUUACAUGUACUGCCAAACCACUUUAUAACAAUGUAAAUGUGAACCUCUAAUGCUAGAAUAAUGCUUGUUAUUCUCUUCUGAAACCUUUGAAAAUGCAAAAUGUCCUAUGCAUAAUAUUUAAUCAAAGAUCUAUGAAAGGUUAGAGUACCCUUUGUCAAUUAGCAAUCAAUGAUAUUUGAAAACUAUCCCAAAUACACAUCAGAUGAAAUCUAAUGACACAUCUGACCAUGUGUGGUUUUGUCUGUGACA